AUUGAACGCUGGCGGCAUGCUUUACACAUGCAAGUCGAACGGUAACAGGUUAAGCUGACGAGUGGCGAACGGGUGAGUAAUGCAUCGGAACGUGCCCGAUCGUGGGGGAUAACGCAGCGAAAGCUGCGCUAAUACCGCAUACGAUCUGAGGAUGAAAGCGGGGGACCGUAUGGCCUCGCGCGAUCGGAGCGGCCGAUGUCAGAUUAGGUAGUUGGUGGGGUAAAGGCUCACCAAGCCGACGAUCUGUAGCUGGUCUGAGAGGACGACCAGCCACACUGGGACUGAGACACGGCCCAGACUCCUACGGGAGGCAGCAGUGGGGAAUUUUGGACAAUGGGCGCAAGCCUGAUCCAGCAAUGCCGCGUGCAGGAAGAAGGUCUUCGGGUUGUAAACUGCUUUUGUACGGAGCGAAAAGGCUCUCUCUAAUACAGGGGGUUCAUGACGGUACCGUAAGAAUAAGCACCGGCUAACUACGUGCCAGCCGCCGCCGUAA
rnacentral:rRNA from 1 species